rnacentral:lncRNA from 1 species
CGGGACUUCCGUUCAGAUUGUUGCUCUUCUGUCCUGCUACUCCGUCGGUCGCGGGCGGACGGACCUGGUUGUUGGACUGUGGCUGGUGUCCAGGGGGCUCCUCAGGCCCGCGGAAACGGGAAUGGAAAGAUGGCUCAUCUCCAGCUGGUGGCCAUGCUAAGAUGCGCCUGGUUUGAGGGACCUGCUUCCUUAUUCUCAGACAGCUGUACCCCUCAGAUCCUGUGAUUCCACCUCAGGUAAACUCUGGGCACACAGGUGACUCUGAGAUCCUGGCCACAG